AGGCCAGACACACAUCAACACUCCUUGCUAGA
rnacentral:piRNA from 1 species